rnacentral:lncRNA from 1 species
GCUGGAGAGGUAGCUCAGUGGUUAAGAACCUACUGCUCUUUGUAGAUAGGAGUUGGGUUCCCAGCACCUAUAACUCCAGCUUUAAGAGAUCUAACCUCCUCUCACCUCCACUUCUUGCAGCAUUUAUUUACAUAGUCUCACACACACACAUAAGUAAAAAUAAUAAACAUAAAUCUUAAAAAAAGAAGUUUCCACUAGGUGUAAUGGCACACCCCUUUAAUUGUCAGCACUCAGGAGGUAGAGGCUACAGACCUUAGUGGGUUUGAGGCCAGACUAAGCUGCAUAGUGAGACUGUCAAAGAAAAAAAAUAAAAUGAAGGAAAGCUGUUUGGUGUUGAGUAUAUCAGGCUCAAUUUUGUGUGUGUGUGUAUGUGUGUAAAUGACAUUUGAGCUACAGAGUGAUUUUAUGCUGUCUGUUAAAUCUUAUCAAACAAAUUUUACUUUGAAGCAAGUUUUAAGUUUGAAUUAUUUGUCUUAACUACUAAUGUCACUAAGAAUUUUAUUGUGUCAGUAUAUUGAGAUAAUGAUAAGCUUUUGUCUUAAAGUCAUUAAAUGUAGAAAAGUCUAAAUGUAGAAAAGCAGUUUCCCUAUUGUACAACCUUCAAAAACCAAUUUACACAAAGCAUAGUUAUGACUAGUGUGUCUGUCUGGAGAUCUUGUAGUCUGUGAGAACUGUGUCUUGUCACAUAAAAGCAGUCUGCUUUGGGAUUUGUGCUGCCGUCGCUGUGGACACUGCUGUUGGGUAGAGGUUGCUGGUGUCAUGUUUUUUUCUUUUCUGACAAAAUAUUAACAUUUAUUUAUUUGUGUGUGUGUAUACACUUGAAUGAGGUCAUAGAACAACUUAUGGAAGUCUCUUUCCACCAAACAGGUCCUCAGGAUUGGACUCAGGCCAUAAGGCCGUAUAGUAAGGGCCUUUACCUGCUGACCAUCUCAAUAAUCCUCAUGUUUUUCAUACUUUGGUUGGUGGAAUGUUUUAGCAUCAGUGGUGAUAUAUUAGGAGGUAGGCUAUAGAAGUUCAUAAAUGCUUUUUACAGUUAACUGUGUCAGAUUGAUUCCUAGUUUUCUUUCUUAAGUCUGUUUCUGCUUUUUAUAUUGUGCAUGUUACCAACAUUCUUACUAUAUUGCAGUAAGUUGUGGAGUGAAUUGGCCAGGUGGCUUAGACAUUAUAAUGUUCAGGGAAUGAGUGAUUUAGGUGCUGUUUCAUGUAUAUUAUUUCUCUCAGUGAGUACUGGCCUGGACCAUGUAAACACACUGAUUGGCUAUAAGUGCCCUCUUUUUAGUUCUGGGUAUGCAUGGAUACUUUUUCUCUUCCUCUUUUCCCUUUCUUUGCUUCCUUUUCUGCUUUGGCAUUUUUUUUUUUUUUUCUUUUAAAUAAAUCAUUUAAGAACUGCUUUGGUGUGGCAGCCAGUGUGACUGAGUAGCAUCAGCAGUUUGGCUUGCUCUCAAUGUAGUAGAAGACACAGAACACUAAAGCACUUUCUGGAGUAUUUGUUCCACCCUGUGAUUAUUACAGGAUGUGCUGUGAAAGGACAGCUAAGUGAAAGCCACGGGAAGUUUUCUGAUGUGGUUCAUACCUGCUGAAUGGUAAAGAUUUUGCCAGCCAAAGAAAGGGAAAAGUAUUUCAGAUACAAGGAGACAGACACUGGAUGGAAAGGAACAACAUGGGUGGUGCGUCUGGAAACUAAAAUUUGUUGGGUGUGUUACCAGGUCUGUCAUUCACCUACUUUGUAGACUUUGGCAGGAGAAUGGCAAAAUCAGUGCUGCCUAGGUUACAGAGUAAGCUCAAGACUGACCUGAGUAAUAAGAGUCUUACCUCAGAAUUUUAAAAAAGUAUGAUGUGUUAGGGUGAUACUAGAAGAGCAGUGGUAGAUGAUGGAGUGAACCCCCCUUUCUUUGAGCUAAUGAGAUUGAAACCAGGAUUUCAUACAUGUAAGCAAGGACUACCAAAGAGUCUUCAAUGCUGUGUGAGAGGCCUGGAGACAAGGUUCAUAAAAUGCUUGUGCAAGAGGGAUCUGAAUUGGAUCCUGGUACCCAAGUAAAAAAUCUGAGUGUGGUGGUGUUCACCUGUAAUCCCAGCAUUAGAGAGGGAGGGAAAUACCUGGGGUUUGUUGGUUUGCCAGGCCAGUCAAAUCAUAUUGGUGUAUUCCAGGU